AUGGCGCCCCGCGGCGCCCUGUUUCUGCUCGCGCUCCUCGCCGUCGCCGUCGCCGUCGCGGUGGAGGCGCACGACGCGUCGGCCGAGGAGCCGCCGCGCCCGCUGGUCAUCCAGCUGCCCACGGAGCGGGCCGAGGAUGUGGAGCUGCGGUGCGCGAGCUGGAGGACGGCGGGGGAGGCCAACAACCUGGCGCCGUGGGCGGCCGUGCCGGAGGACUGCGUGCCGCACGUGCGCGCAUACCUCACCGGCCCCGCCUACCGCUCCGACCUCGACCUCGUCGCAAGGGAGGCCUCCGCCUACGCCCGCGCCACAGCCGCCGCCGCCGCCGCCACCGGCACAAACCAAGCCACCGCCGGCGCCUGGGUCUUCGACAUCGACGAGACGCUGCUCUCCAACCUCCCCUACUACGCGCAGCACGGAUACGGGCUGGAGCUGUUCGACCACCGGGAGUUCGACCGGUGGGUGGAGACGGGGGAGGCGCCGGCGAUCCCCUCCAGCCUCCGCCUCUACAGGGAGGUGCGCGACCUGGGAUUCAAGACCUUCCUGCUCACCGGCCGCAGCGAGGCCCACCAGGCCGUCACCGUCGACAACCUCAGGAGACAGGGCUUCCACGACUGGGACAAGCUCAUACUCAGGGCAGCAGCCGACCGGGAGAAAACGGCGACGGACUACAAGUCGGAGAAGAGGAAGGAGAUGGAGGCGGAGGGGUACAAGAUCCUGGGCAACUCGGGCGACCAGUGGAGCGACCUGCUGGGCUACUCCAUGAGCGCCCGCUCCUUCAAGCUCCCCAACCCAAUGUACUACAUCCCCUGA
rnacentral:rRNA from 1 species